GUUACGCGUAGUGUUCGCUGUGCUCGGGUCUGUCGCCUCACGUUUUCGAAAUCCCUUUGUUUAACCGUGCUGUUGACGUGUGGUGGAAGCCCUUCGUACAAUAACGUUUCUGUCUCUUCUUUGUACAGUGUUUGGCCAUUGUGUACUGUCUUACCGAGCUUGUGAAUAAACUGUGAACGUUUAAGGUUAAGGAUCGUUCACUUUGGAAAUCGUCAUUUUACCGAGGUGGAUAUUUGUAUACGUUAACGAAUUACCAGAUUCUUUGCAAUUGCGUGGAAUAAUCCGGAAUGCAAGAGGAUUGUUCCCAACGGGACAGAGGACUAUUGAGUCCCAGCCGUUUUCAGGGGAAUCUGUGAGAGGAAGAAGGGCAGACCAACUAGUAGUAAUACUGCAACUAGGCAAACAGCAAGGUGCGCGAGAUGACUUGCAGAGUGGAGCACCGACUGCGACAAGAUGCUGGCCCGACGCAGCAUCAUCCUUCUUGUCGUACGACCCUGAUCGGAUGGACCAGUCAGAUUUUGAUCAUAACCGACGAAUCGAGCGGGUUGGUAUGACGUAGGGCGCGGAAGUCCGUAUCAGUGAAGUAUCAGGAUCCCAAUGCUGACAGACCUAUUCAGGGGGGGAACCCCCGGGAUGGUCCUGGUCGUUCAUCCCUGAUCGGAUGGACCGAGGAAGUUCGAGAGGAGAAAUUAGGGUACCCCCAGCUCCCAUUUAACUCCCGGAACGAUAAAAACUGUAGGAGAUCGUGCUCUGGUAGGGUACAAGGAUCCUGACCACAGGGGCUAAAUUCGAUAGUUUAGUAAAUGGUGGGAACAGCAUGAAUAGUAGUACAACGGGUGGCGCAUAUUAAUAUACCCAGAUACGGUUAACCCCAGCAAAUACUCCGCACCAUGCUGCAUGUUAAUCGGGCAUUGGAAACUUAAGGUAGCUGCGACAGGAAAAGGGCCCAAGUGCCGUUCCGAAGCACACAGAAAGAAGGAUUA